rnacentral:rRNA from 1 species
GGGGAAUAUUGGACAAUGGGCGCAAGCCUGAUCCAGCAAUGCCGCGUGGGUGAAGACGGCCUGCGGGUUGUAAAGCCCUUUAGGUGGGGAAGAACGAUGCCGGGUGAAUAGCCGGGUGUUAUGACAUUACCCACGGAAUAAGCACCGGCUAACUCCGUGCCAGCAGCCGCGGUAAUACGGAGGGUGCGAGCGUUAAUCGGAAUGACUGGGCGUAAAGCGUGCGUAGGUGGUGGUGUUAGUCAGCCGUGAAAGCCCGGGGCUUAACCUGGGAAUGGCGGUUGAAACGGGGCGACUUGAGUGGGUUAGAGGACUGUGGAACUCCUGGUGUAGCGGUGAAAUGCGUAGAGAUGAGGAAGAACACCGAUGGCGAAGGCAGCGGUCUGGGACCACACUGACACUGAGGCACGAAAGCGUGGGGAGCAAAC